rnacentral:tRNA from 1 species
GCGUCUGUAGUUAAGGGGUAUAACGCCUGCCUUCCAAGCAGGUGACGCCAGUUCGAAUCUGGCCAGACGCUCCA